rnacentral:misc_RNA from 1 species
AACCAUAGAAACCUGCGGAGUACCUGCGGAGGGAUCAUUACAGAGUUGCAAAACUCCCUAAACCAUUGUGAACGUUACCUAAACCGUUGCUUCGGCGGGCGGCCCGGGUCCCUCCCGGCGCCCAUCGGCCCUCGCGGGCGCCCGCCGGAGGUAAACCAAACUAUUGCAUUGUAUGGCCUCUCUGAGUCUUCUGUACUGAAUAAGUCAAAACUUUCAACAAUGGAUCUCAGAUCGGAAGAG